rnacentral:rRNA from 1 species
UACGUAGGAGGCAAGCGUUGUCCGGAGUUACUGGGCGUAAAGCGCACGCAGGCGGUUCAGUCAGUCUGUAGGGACAGGGCACAGCUCAACUGUGUCAGGCUUACGGAAACUGCUGAACUUGAGGGCUUCAGAGGGAUGGGGAAUUCCGGGUGGAGUGGUGAAAUGCGUAGAGAUCCGGAAGAACACCAAAGGCGAAGGCACCAUCCUGGGGAGUCACUGACGCUCGGGUGCGAAAGUUAGGGGAGCGAACGGG